AGUCAUAUGCUUGUCUCAAAGACUAAGCCAUGCAUGUCUAAGUAUAAAUAACUACACAGUAAAACUGCGAAUGGCUCAUUAAAACAGUUAUAGUUUAUUUGAUACAUUUUAAAUGGAUAACUGUAGAAANACUAGAGCUAAUACAUGCUAAGACCGUAAGGUUGUAUUUAUUAGAUAUACCAAGUAGGUGAAUCAUAAUAACUUCGCAAAUCGCAGUAAUACUGCGAUAAAUCAUUCAAGUUUCUGCCCUAUCAUGCUCUCGAUGGUAGUGUAUUGGACUACCAUGGCUCUCACGGGUAACGGGGAAUUAGGGUUCGAUUCCGGAGAAGGAGCCUGAGAAACGGCUACUACAUCUAAGGAAGGCAGCAGGCGCGUAAAUUACCCAAUCCUGACUCAGGGAGGUAGUGACAAGAUAUAACAACNCGANNAAAANUCGNGAUUGUAGUGAGGGUNUUCCAAACCGAACNNCNAGUACAAUUNGAGGGCAAGUCUGGUGCCAGCAGCCGCGGUAAUUCCAGCUCUAAUAGCGUAUAUUAAAGUUGUUGCAGUUAAAAAGCUCGUAGUUGGAUUUCAAGAGACGCAACGUGGACACACGUCUGCCCUCUACCAGUCUUAGACUGUUACUGUGAGAAAAUUAGAGUGUUUCAAGCAGGCUGUUGCAGGAAUACAUUAGCAUGGAAUAACGAAUGGGUCUAGAAUCUUGGUUAAUUCUAGAUUACGAUUAAUAGGGACAGUUGGGGGCAUUAGUAUUUAAUUGUCAGAGGUGAAAUUCUUGGAUUUAUUAAAGACUAACGUAUGCGAAAGCAUUUGCCAAGGAUGUUUUCAUUAAUCAAGAACGAAAGAUAGGGGAUCAAAGACGAUCAGAUACCGUCGUAGUCCUAUCUAUAAACUAUGCCGACUAGGGAUUGGUGCGGAAAAGCAUCGCAUCAGUACCUUAUGAGAAAUCAAAGUCUUUGGGUUCUUGGGGGAGUAUGGUCGCAAGACUGAAACUUAAAGAAAUUGACGGAAGGGCACCACCAGGAGUGGAGCCUGCGGCUUAAUUUGACCCAACACGGGGAAACUUACCA
rnacentral:rRNA from 1 species